AUACGGAGGGGGCAAGCGUUGUUCGGAAUUAUUGGGCGUAAAGGGCAUGUAGGCUGUUUAAUAAGUUAAAAGUGAAAUACCAGAGCUUAACUCUGGAGCUGCUUUUAAUACUGUUAGACUAGAGAUUGAGAGAGGAUAGUGGAAUUCCUAGUGUAGAGGUGAAAUUCGUAGAUAUUAGGAGGAACACCAGUGGCGAAGGCGGCUAUCUGGCUCAAUUCUGACGCUGAGGUGCGAAAGCGUGGG
rnacentral:rRNA from 1 species